rnacentral:lncRNA from 1 species
ACUGCCGGUGCGAAAGCGCCUAAAGCCUGGUUCUCGCUACUCAGUUUAUACAAUGAAGAAUAUCUUACUUUAAUCAGCAGAAAGAUAUAAUGAGGCAACGUAUGAAACUAAGAAUACAAGUAUCCUAAAAAAUAUGUGAGGAGAACUUGAAUAAAUACCACUAAUUAUUUUACAUCUAUAAUAUUUCAGACAUUUGAUUUGUUUUAACAUCCAAUGUAGAGUUUUAAAAGUUAAAAAUAAAUGUGAUGCUGCUUAAAGAUAUAAUUAGCUUGACUUAAACUGUACUGUAUAAUGUGAACAUUUACAAGUACUUCAUACAUUUCACUUGAAUUUACAUCUGUUAUUAUUGCUCUUUCUUUGUAGGCUCAAGUGGAAGGCGAAUGCUGCUGUUCUUCCUUGAGCUUAAAGACAUCGGACUACAGAGUGCUGCUCCGGACACUGCAGCAUUUUCAAGAUCAGUCAUCAAAAAGCUGCUAUUUUUUCGGUCU